GCAUAUUCAGACAUAAUUGUGGCAGAUAAGGGAUAAUCACCACCGAUACCAAAUCCAAGCCAGAACCUGAAGAAACAAAGAGUGGCAAUGGUACCCUCAGCAGUCCGUCCAAAGGAAAGCCCUGAGGCGAUGGAGCAAACAACCAUGAGAAUUAGAGUUAUCCCAUAGACUUUCUUCCUGCCCAAUUUGUCACCAAGCCAGCCAAAGAAGAGCUGGCCAGCUAAAGUGCCACAAAGUGCAACACCAUUAACAGCGGCUGCC
rnacentral:misc_RNA from 1 species